rnacentral:rRNA from 2 species
GAGGGAAAGGUGAAAAGCACCCCGGAAGGGGAGUGAAACAGUUCCUGAAACCGUGUGCCUACAAUUAGUCAAAGCCCGUUAAUGGGUAAUGGCGUGCCUUUUGUAGAAUGAACCGGCGAGUUACGUUUGCUUGCGAGGUUAAGAUGAAAAGUCGGAGCCGUAGCGAAAGCGAGUCUGAACAGGGCGAAUGAGUAAGCAGAUGUAGACCCGAAACCAAGUGACCUACCCAUGACCAGGUUGAAGGUGUGGUGAAACACACUGGAGGACCGAACCCAUGUAUGUUGAAAAAUGCUGGGAUGAGUUGUGGGUAGCGGUGAAAUUCCAAACGAACUUGGAGAUAGCUGGUUCUCUCCGAAAUAGCUUUAGGGUUAGCCUCGGAGGAUGGAUCAUGGAGGUAGAGCACUGUUUGAACUAGGGGCCCAUCAAGGGUUACUGAAUUCAGAUAAACUCCGAAUACCAUCGAUCUUACUCCGGGAGUCAGACAGUGAGCGAUAAGGUCCAUUGUCGAAAGGGGAACAGCCCAGAUCACCAGUUAAGGUCCCUAAAUUUAUGCUAAGUGGAAAAGGAUGUGGCGUUGCACAGACAACUAGGAUGUUGGCUCAGAAGCAGCCACCAUUUAAAGAGUGCGUAAUAGCUCACUAGUCGAGUGGCACUGCGCCGAAAAUAUACCGGGGCUAAGCAUAAUACCGAAACUGUGGGUGCACCCGUAAGGG